CGGAGCAUUGCUACCUCGUGAAUUAGUGGCGAACGGGUGAGUAACACGUGAGUAACCUGCCCCUGACUCUGGGAUAAGCGUUGGAAACGACGUCUAAUACUGGAUAUGAUCACUGGCCGCAUGGUCUGGUGGUGGAAAGAUUUUUUGGUUGGGGAUGGACUCGCGGCCUAUCAGCUUGUUGGUGAGGUAAUGGCUCACCAAGGCGACGACGGGUAGCCGGCCUGAGAGGGUGACCGGCCACACUGGGACUGAGACACGGCCCAGACUCCUACGGGAGGCAGCAGUGGGGAAUAUUGCACAAUGGGCGAAAGCCUGAUGCAGCAACGCCGCGUGAGGGAUGACGGCCUUCGGGUUGUAAACCUCUUUUAGUAGGGAAGAAGCGAGAGUGACGGUACCUGCAGAAAAAGCACCGGCUAACUACGUGCCAGCAGCCGCGGUAAUACGUAGGGUGCAAGCGUUGUCCGGAAUUAUUGGGCGUAAAGAGCUCGUAGGCGGUUUGUCGCGUCUGCUGUGAAAUCCCGAGGCUCAACCUCGGGCUUGCAGUGGGUACGGGCAGACUAGAGUGCGGUAGGGGAGAUUGGAAUUCCUGGUGUAGCGGUGGAAUGCGCAGAUAUCAGGAGGAACACCGAUGGCGAAGGCAGAUCUCUGGGCCGUAACUGACGCUGAGGAGCGAAAGCGUGGGGAGCGAACAGGAUUAGAUACCCUGGUAGUCCACGCCGUAAACGUUGGGCGCUAGAUGUAGGGACCUUUCCACGGUUUCUGUGUCGUAGCUAACGCAUUAAGCGCCCCGCCUGGGGAGUACGGCCGCAAGGCUAAAACUCAAAGGAAUUGACGGGGGCCCGCACAAGCGGCGGAGCAUGCGGAUUAAUUCGAUGCAACGCGAAGAACCUUACCAAGGCUUGACAUACACCGGAAACGGCCAGAGAUGGUCGCCCCCUUGUGGUCGGUGUACAGGUGGUGCAUGGUUGUCGUCAGCUCGUGUCGUGAGAUGUUGGGUUAAGUCCCGCAACGAGCGCAACCCUCGUUCUAUGUUGCCAGCGCGUUAUGGCGGGGACUCAUAGGAGACUGCCGGGGUCAACUCGGAGGAAGGUGGGGAUGACGUCAAAUCAUCAUGCCCCUUAUGUCUUGGGCUUCACGCAUGCUACAAUGGCCGGUACAAAGGGCUGCGAUACCGUAAGGUGGAGCGAAUCCCAAAAAGCCGGUCUCAGUUCGGAUUGAGGUCUGCAACUCGACCUCAUGAAGUCGGAGUCGCUAGUAAUCGCAGAUCAGCAACGCUGCGGUGAAUACGUUCCCGGUCCUUGUACACACCGCCCGUCAAGUCAUGAAAGUCGGUAACA
rnacentral:rRNA from 1 species